UUACUGACGCUGAAGCUCGAAGGUGCGGGUAUCGAACAGGAUUAGAUACCCUGGUAGUCCGCACGGUAAACGAUGGAUGCUCGUUGUUCGCCCAAUUGAGGGUGAGUGACUUAGGGAAACCGUUAAGCAUCCCACCUGGGGAGUACGCCGGCAACGGUGAAACUCAAAGGAAUUGACGGGGGCCCGCACAAGCGGAGGAACAUGUGGUUUAAUUCGAUGAUACGCGAGGAACCUUACCCGGGCUUGAACUGUAGGAGAACGAUUCAGAGAUGAUGAGGCCCUUCGGGGCUCCUAUGGAGGUGCUGCAUGGUUGUCGUCAGCUCGUGCCGUGAGGUGUCGGCUUAAGUGCCAUAACGAGCGCAACCCCUUUCGCCAGUUGCCAUCAGGUAGUGCUGGGCACUCUGGCGACACUGCCGCCGCAAGGUGUGAGGAAGGUGGGGAUGACGUCAAAUCAGCACGGCCCUUACGUCCGGGGCUACACACGUGUUACAAUGGGGCAUACAGAAGGCCGGUCCGCGGCAACGCGGAUCCAAUCUUUAAAAUGCCUCGUAGUUCGGAUUGGGGUCUGCAACCCGACCCCAUGAAGCUGGAUUCGCUAGU
rnacentral:rRNA from 1 species